rnacentral:rRNA from 1 species
UACGGGGGGAGCAAGCGUUGUUCGGAUUUACUGGGCGUAAAGGGCGCGUAGGCGGCCACCGCAAGUCGACUGUGAAAUCUCCGGGCUUAACCCGGAAAGGUCAGCCGAUACUGCGGGGCUAGAGUGCAGAAGGGGCAACUGGAAUUCUCGGUGUAGCGGUGAAAUGCGUAGAUAUCGAGAGGAACACCUGCGGCGAAGGCGGGUUGCUGGGACGGUACUGACGCUGAGACGCGAAAGCUAGGGGAGCAAACAGG